ACCAAGGGACAGAAGACCUCUUACAAGGAGACCUCCAAGUCUGAAACCAAGAUGCAACAUACCAGGCCCAGCUUUCCAGGAGCAUCUGUCAGACUGUCUGAGUGUUUGUGAGAACAGUGUAGAAACCUCUGCAGGCAGAAGGUCAAGCAGGUGACCCAGAUGUGGCUGGCAGGAGCUGAGGGUCACUAAGAGCCUCGCCAGUUCCAGAUCUGCACAGGAAGCACACAACGCUCUUCUAAUUUCUAAACGACUUGUGCAACCUCUAUGCGUAACACCCUGUGGCAUGACCACGGAGAAAGACUUCCUGCUUGGUUGCAAGGAUGAUUUGGACACUGAAGCUCCUUCUGUAGUCUCUACUUUUUUUUUUUUUUUUCCCCAACUUUAAUUUUUACCAUAGUAAAGUCAAGCCACAAAGCCCAUACAGUAGAGGCAGACAAGCAGCUUUGUCAAACAUAAUACAAUUCUAAAUGCAUUCAGAGAAGGUAAGCUGUAGUUCUAAAAGCAUAAUGAAUAGCAACUAGAGGCAUAAACCGGACAGAUAAAAGAAGGAAAAAAGUACAAGAAAGCUAAAAAGCUAAUUAAGUGUUGUCAGCAUGCAAAAAGAAAGUAAUCAUUGGAACAGAAAGCUGUAUGUUGCUCUUCAAAGCCAGGGUGAGGUGGAGAUACCAUUGCACUGGCUGGAGUGCACAAUGGCUGAUAUCUCCUCUGUGGAGCUACAUGGAAACUUCAGCACCUGGAUGCACUUGCCAGUGAUAGCAUUGCCUCCUAACUGCCUGCUGGGAUGCAUAGCCUUCUCUCCUUGUCUGCCAGUGCCCAGGAGAAACCCAGGUGACAGGGAAUACCAGUGCUUUUCAGCAAGACCCCUGUCCGGUUGCUUGGGGAGCCAGGACUGGCAGGCUCAGUGCUGAGAACAGGUGUGGGUACGGCCCCGGAGAGCACCCACCUGCCACAUCAGGGCAUCACUGCCCCUUUCCCAGCCAGAUUUGGUCUGGGUCAGGUUGAUCCAAGCUGCCUCUAAUUUCUAACGCUAUAGAUGCUCUCAAUACACCUGCCAGCUCUUGCUAGCAGACAGCUGCCACCAGAGUUUGAGCAGAGUACAACGAAUAACCAUCAGAGCAGCUGAGCUUUGGAUGCAUUGGUACAUACAUAGAAUAAAAUAGUUCCUAAUUCAGAUAAGCAGGAUCUUAAAACUUUGAGCAUGCUUAAUGUCACUGGAUGUGUCAGGCUCUUCCUCAGGCUGUGAGACCCUGCCACCGUGCUACCAAGCUGUGAGGUUGGAGGGCAGAAAGCAAAAUGGCUUUCCAGUCAGCAGUGUCUUGACGAGGAGGAGGUCACAGGACCCAUGAAUGCUGAUGGUAAUAUUUUCCCAUGCCUCCUUAGUCUUCUCUUCAGUGUUCUCUAAAAUAUGUUGAGACUGUUGAAUUUUAGAUGUAGAUGUUUUGACUGCCAAGUCAGUUUACAUUAUGAAUAAUAGCUCAUCGACAUUUCACCAGAAAAAAAAAAAAUCAUAAUUAAAAUAGAUUCCAAAAAAUGAUUUACAUAUUUUGCAAUACCACAAGAAUGUGGUGGUUUAUUAUGUCAGGUUUGUCAGGAUAGGAUUAUUCCUGUACAUGUCAGAUCCCAGGUUCCUGCACUCUGCUCAUGGCAAGCAUACUACAAGAAAUUUGUCCACUGCUUAAAACUGAGCUAAUUAUGCAGAAAAGCUCAUUUUACAGUUCUUGAGUAUGCACUUUUGUUUUAGCCCUAGCUAGGCCUUCUUCCCCUUCAGGAACAAUUUCAAAAGUAGUAAAAGCUUUAGCAGCCCUGAAAAGAGAAAUGAAAAAUCAUGUGGUGGCCAGUCUCAGUUCCCUGUGUGCUCUGAGGACUUGAUCGAAAACCCACCCAAGCAAGGCAUCAGCUCUGCACAGGGGGAAGGUGCGGCUGGUUGAGGUGGAGCCAGGGCACCAAAUCUUUGCUCCCAGCACUUCAGGAGGGAAAGCCUGAGACCCUAAACCUCUAAUUCACAGAGAUGCUUUUGAAAUGACCACUUUGCUGUGUUCGCCCCAAAAGAAGCAAAGAGCAGGAGCUGCCCAGCUAACAGAAUUGGAACAGUCCUCUGAACAGCUACACAAAAACAGCGGUGGUUAUUCACAGCAGGACCAGCAGGACCCUCCUACACACAACAGGCUGAGGCAGAGUUAUGGCCCUGUGAGGGUGUGUGAUCUCCUUAAUGGUGCUGAUGAUGCUGACGGUGUUCAGCUCAACUGAUUCUGAAGGAUACAAACUGGGGAAGCUCUCCAUAUGGGGAAAUAUUAACUGAAGAAGCACUUCUAUGUGACUGCCAAAGAACAUGUCCCAUGGUGGAUACCUCCUUUUGAAACAAGGGGAAGAAGGGAGUAACCACGCAGCACAGAGAAGAAAGCUUUGCAGAAGGAGGAGGAAGAAAAGGACUCUACAAGCUGGGAACAAGAAUGCUGGGCUGGCGGUUUGAACUAGUUCCCUUGAGUUCCUUCUCAAUCUCUUACCUCUCUGUAUCCUCAUUAUUUGAUUAUUACAAGAGAAAUCUAAAGAGUGCAUUCACAGAUUCCCAAAUAAAGGUCUGAGACAACUGUGAAGAAUCAGAAGAGCAGACAAUGUUUUUUGCAACCUAUCAAUCAAGACUGACCAAGUCAAACGUUGCUUGAUGCUGGUUUUUAUAUCUCUGCUUAUUAUAUUUUUAAUGGAUGUGGUGCCCGGCA